rnacentral:rRNA from 1 species
AGAGUUUGAUUAUGGCUCAGGAUGAACGCUAGCUACAGGCUUAACACAUGCAAGUCGAGGGGCAGCAUUGGGGUAGCAAUACUCAGAUGGCGACCGGCGCACGGGUGAGUAACACGUAUCCAACCUGCCGCUUACUCGGGGAUAGCCUUUCGAAAGAAAGAUUAAUACCCGAUGGUAUAAAGAGUUCGCAUGUUCUCUUUAUUAAAGAAUUUCGGUAAGCGAUGGGGAUGCGUUCCAUUAGAUAGUUGGCGGGGUAACGGCCCACCAAGUCUACGAUGGAUAGGGGUUCUGAGAGGAAGGUCCCCCACAUUGGAACUGAGACACGGUCCAAACUCCUACGGGAGGCAGCAGUGAGGAAUAUUGGUCAAUGGACGAGAGUCUGAACCAGCCAAAGUAGCGUGAAGGAUGACUGCCCUAUGGGUUGUAAACUUCUUUUAUAAGGGAAUAAAGUGAGGGACGUGUCCCUUUUUGUAUGUACCUUAUGAAUAAGGAUCGGCUAACUCCGUGCCAGCCGCGGC